rnacentral:SRP_RNA from 1 species
GCCGGGUGUGGUGGUGCAUUCCUGUAAUUCCAGCUGCUUAGGAGGCUGAGGCAGGAGAAUCACUUGUACCUGGGAGGCGGAGGUUGCAGUGAGUCAAGAUUGUGCCAUUGCACUCCAGCCUGGGUGACAAAGUGAGACCCUGUCUCUC